rnacentral:rRNA from 1 species
CAUGCAAGUCGAACGCAACCUUCGGGUUGAGUGGCGGACGGGUGAGUAACGCGUGAGAAUCUGCCUUGGGGUCGGGGACAACCACUGGAAACGGUGGCUAAUACCGGAUACGCCUUCGGGUAAAAGAUUUAUUGCCCUAAGAGGAGCUCGCGUCUGAUUAGCUAGUUGGUGAGGUAAGAGCUCACCAAGGCAGCGAUCAGUAGCUGGUCUGAGAGGACGAUCAGCCACACUGGGACUGAGACACGGCCCAGACUCCUACGGGAGGCAGCAGUGGGGAAUUUUCCGCAAUGGGCGAAAGCCUGACGGAGCAAGACCGCGUGAGGGAGGAAGGCUCUUGGGUUGUAAACCUCUUUUCUCAGGGAGGAAGCUCUGACGGUACCUGAGGAAUCAGCCUCGGCUAACUCCGUGCCAGCAGCCGCGGUAAUACGGAGGAGGCAAGCGUUAUCCGGAAUUAUUGGGCGUAAAGCGUCCGCAGGUGGCGAUUCAAGUCUGCUGUCAAAACACGGGGCUUAACUCCGUAAAGGCAGUGGAAACUGAAUAGCUAGAGUGCCGUAGGGGUAGAGGGAAUUCCCGGUGUAGCGGUGAAAUGUGUAGAGAUCGGGAAGAACAUCGGUGGCGAAAGCGCUCUACUGGACGGCAACUGACACUCAGGGACGAAAG